rnacentral:pre_miRNA from 1 species
UGAUGAUGAUGAUGAUGAUGAUGAUGGUGAUGGUGAUGGUGAUGAUGAUGAUGAUGAUCAACAUCAUCAUCAUCAUCACCAUCAUCAUCAUUAUCU